rnacentral:lncRNA from 1 species
GUGCCGCUCCUCCGCCAAGCCGGCGCCCUGUGGCUUUGAAGAGUCAUGGACAGCAGUGGCUGAUGCGUGCGUGCAGUUAUGUGUGUGUGGUCGCAGCCUCGAAAUCGAGCUAAGCUGGUGAUCAUGUAGUGCGUGCACUGCAGUGCAGCUACAUAAUUUUGGAAAGGUCAUCAAACAUAUUAACGGUCAUGAUCUUUCAGUUGUACCUCUCGCUGUCAUGAAAACAGUAGAAAGGAUGCUUUGUAAGGGAUACGCAUCCUGAGCAAUAUUAAAAGAGCUUAUGUUUAUUAUCUUGUUGUCGUUGCUUAACAAAUUUGAUGCUUUGCUUAUUCUGUUAGGCUGUUGUGCUAAGGCAGUAAGAGAAUCCACGGUAUAUAAUGCUCUUUAGUAAAUGGAG